rnacentral:rRNA from 1 species
GCUGACCUCUGCGGCGUGCUUAACGACAGUCCAACUCGACGGUUAAGCUUCCCCAAACUUUCCUGGGGUUAACACGAAUUGGUCGGAACGGGUUGGAAUUUUAACCACUGUUGGGUACCUGGCCGUGCACCUCCGGGAUAAGCCUGGGGAAACUGGGUCUUAAUACCGGAUAGGACUGCACCGUUGAGGCUCUUGUGGAAAGUUUUUUCGGUGUGGGAUUGGGCCCUCGGCCUAUCAGCUUGUUGUGGGUAAUGGCCUACCAAGGCGGCGACGGGUACCGGCCUGAGAGGGUGGACGGCCACAUUGGGACUGAGACACGGCCCAGACUCCUACGGGAGGCACAAUGGGGAAUAUUGCACAAUGGCGGAAGCCUGAUGCAGCGACGCCGCGUGGGGGUAUGACGGCCUUCGGGUUGUAAACUCCUGUUCACCAUCGACGAAGGGUUUCUGACGGUAGAUGGAGAAGAAGCACCGGCUAACUACGUGCCAGCAGCCGCGGUAAUACGUAGGGUGCGAGCGUUGUCCGGAAUUACUGGGCGUAAAGAGCUCGUAGGUGGUUUGUCGCGUCGUCUGUGAAAUUCCGGGGCUUAACUCCGGGCGUGCAGGCGAUACGGGCAUAACUUGAGUACUGUAGGGGAGACUGGAAUUCCUGGUGUAGCGGUGAAAUGCGCAGAUAUCAGGAGGAACACCGGUGGCGAAGGCGGGUCUCUGGGCAGUAACUGACGCUGAGGAGCGAAGGCAUGGGGAGCGAACAGGAUUAGAUACCCUGGUAGUCCAUGCCGUAAACGGUGGGCGCUAGGUGUGGGUUUCCUUCCACGGGAUCCGUGCCGUAGCUAACGCAUUAAGCGCCCCGCCUGGGGAGUACGGCCGCAAGGCUA